UUUUCAUGUCUUCCCACUAACCCAAAUCAAUUGUAUUCCAAUAUCCCUUUGUUUUCCACAUCAAUACUAUAUAUAUACAUACAUGCUAAUGAGUCUCUCACACUAUUAUACUAUGCUCUCAAUUAUAUUUCUAUGGCAUCAAAGUCAAAAGGCAAUGAAGCUAUACACGCCUACCUAGCUUCCACAAAACAAACAUUUUAUACUCUUACAACUCCCUUUAUAAUUCAAAUGAUUAUCAAGCUUUGUUUUUAGUUUCAUUCUCCUUCAAUUCAAAUUGUUAGUUUCUCGACACAUAGUAGUCCAUUUUAAACCGUCGGAUCGUCGAAAUGAACUUUGAAGUGAGAUAUAUCCAGUGUACACUGUAGCUACGAAUUUAGGCCUAGAGUAUUGUGCUUGGAAGGAAAUCCGCCAAGGUACCAAAGGUGAAAUAUGAGGUGAUGUGUUGCUUGUACGUGCGCGGGACUAAACAAAUUUGGGUUUUAUAAAUUUGUAAUUUAAAUGAAAAAUUCUUUUAUUGUACAAAGAUUA